GUCUCUCUCCAGCCAGACUCCCCAGGGUGACAGAGGAGGCACAGAUGGGGCAGGCUGCCGGGGAAAAAGAGCCUUCUCCCAGGCUGCGUACAGCACGUCAGGAGAGCUCCUCAAAGAUGGCAGAAGAGGGGAAGGGCAAGCGCUCUGCUGCGGCCUGGCCCCAAACUCAAGCCCCUGCCUGUGAGGGUCAACGGAGAGCAGGACAGGAAAUAUGCUGCCUGUACAGGCAAGAAGAUGAAAGAACUCUGCAGGCAUCGCUGGCUGAGGAGCAACUGAAGGAAGAACGGGAG